GAUUCGCGGCCUAUCAGCUUGUUGGUGAGGUAAAGGCUCACCAAGGCGACGACGGGUAGCCGGCCUGAGAGGGUGACCGGCCACACUGGGACUGAGACACGACCCAGACUCCUACGGGAGGCAGCAGUGGGGAAUAUUGCACAAUGGGCGCAAGCCUGAUGCAGCAACGCCGCGUGAGGGACGAAGGCCUUCGGGUUGUAAACCUCUUUUAGCAGGGAAGAAGCGAAAGUGACGGUACCUGCAGAAAAAGCACCGGCUAACUACGUGCCAGCAGCCGCGGUAAUACGUAGGGUGCAAGCGUUGUCCGGAAUUAUUGGGCGUAAAGAGCUCGUAGGCGGUUUGUCGCGUCUGCUGUGAAAUCCCGAGGCUCAACCUCGGGUCUGCAGUGGGUACGGGCAGACUAGAGUGUGGUAGGGGAGAUUGGAACUCCUGGUGUAGCGGUGGAAUGCGCAGAUAUCAGGAAGAAUACCAAUGGCGAAGGCAGAUCUCUGGGCCAUUACUGACGCUGAGGAGCGAAAGCGUGGGGAGCGAACAGGAUUAGAUACCCUGGUAGUCCACGCCGUAAACGUUGGGAACUAGAUGUGGGGGCCAUUCCACGGUCUCCGUGUCGCAGCUAACGCAUUAAGUUCCCCGCCUGGGGAGUACG
rnacentral:rRNA from 1 species